ACAAAGGCCCUUUUCAGGACCAUACAAAUUUUUAAAUAUAGAAAUGU
rfam:Stegodyphus mimosarum contig56639, whole genome shotgun sequence.